GAUGACAUACAUCAUUCUAAUAUAGAACAUGUUUAAAUAUUUGACUGUUUGGGCACUCAAAAAAAUAAAAAAAACUGCAUUGGGAGCGGUAUUCUCUAAUCCCGAGCGGUAUUCGGCGUUUUCCGAGCGGAAAUCGGCGUGUUUGGACCGGAAACCACUGCAUUGCAAAUGGUGGAUCCGGUGUGGGAGCAUGGAGAGAAGAGAGGCAAUGGAUGGAAGUGCAACUAUUGCCAUCAACAGAGGAAUGGGGGAGGAGCAACAAGGCUUAAGGAGCAUUUGGCGCAACGGGAUGUAUAUUGACGAUGAUGGUUUGUAAGGACUACGGUUGUGAUGAUUUGUAUGGACUAUGAUUGUGAUGACUUCUAUGGACUAUGGAUGUGAAUUUCUAUUUU